CAUGAGGCUCUGGGUCACCUCCCACCCGUGUUUAUUUUACCUUGUUGCUUCGGCGGGCCCGCCUUAACUGGCCGCCGGGGGGCUUACGCCCCCGGGCCCGCGCCCGCCGAAGACACCCUCGAACUCUGUCUGAAGAUUGAAGUCUGAGUGAAAAUAUAAAUUAUUUAAAACUUUCAACAACGGAUCUCUUGGUUCCGGCAUCGAUGAAGAACGCAGCGAAAUGCGAUACGUAAUGUGAAUUGCAAAUUCAGUGAAUCAUCGAGUCUUUGAACGCACAUUGCGCCCCCUGGUAUUCCGGGGGGCAUGCCUGUCCGAGCGUCAUUGCUGCCCUCAAGCCCGGCUUGUGUGUUGGGCCCCGUCCCCCGAUCUCCGGGGGACGGGCCCGAAAGGCAGCGGCGGCACCGCGUCCGGUCCUCGAGCGUAUGGGGCUUUGUCACCCGCUCUGUAGGCCCGGCCGGCGCUUGCCGAUCAACCCAAAUUUUUAUCCAGGUUGACCUCGGAUCAGGUAGGGAUACCCGCUGAACUUAAGCAUAUCAAUAAGCGGAGGAAAAGAAAAUAAAGG
rnacentral:rRNA from 1 species